UAAGUAAGCGGAGGAAAAGAAACUAACUAGGAUUCCCUUAGUAAUGGCGAAUGAACAGGGAUCAGCUCAGUGCCUAAUCAGAAUCACUUGUGGUUCUGAAAUGUGGCUUGAAGGCAGUACCAGUGGCAACGCGGACGAAAGUCUCUUGGAAAAGAGCGUCAUAGAGGGUGAGAAUCCCGUGAGUCGUUUGCAGUUUGUCACGUACGGUCUGUGUUCUAACGAGUCGCGUUCCUUGGGAUUGGAGCGUAAACGGGUGGUAAAUUUCAUCCAAAGCAAAAUAUAUACUCGAGACCGAUAGCACAAAAGUACCGUGAGGAAAGGUGAAAAGAACUUUGAGAAGAGGGUUAAAUAGUGCCUGAAAUCGUUGAGAAGGAAGCGGAUGCCGCCGUUGCAUAUGCUGAUUGUAGGAUUGCUGCAUGCUUGUGUCUUCUGCUACUUAUACACAGACCUAGUCGUGUUGAGCAGUUGUUUGGCACUCGUGCGUGGUGUUUCCUGCUUUCAGCCGUCAGCAUCAUUGGUUGAGCGGAAAUAAUCCUUGGAUGCUAAUUGGUUCGCUAUGCGAAUUGGUUGCUUCUUUGCGAUACUCGCUGCCCGGUCAAUGAGGAAGUGCGUUUGAUGGUCAACGAGUCGUCUCACUGUCAUUACCCUGCGCUUUUCGAUUCGUCGAGUUGCCAGGAUGUGGCUCUAAGAUUGCUCGCACUUAGUAAUCGCGAUGCUGGCUUCCAACGGUUGCCUCCGGCCCGUCUUGAAACACGGACCAAGGAGUCUAACGUAUGUGCGAGUGUGUGAGUGGCAAACUUAUACGCGUAAUGAAAGUGAGCCGUAUGGCCAUGUUGGGGUCACCAACAACCGACCUUGAUCUUCGGUGAAAGGUUUGAGUAUGAGCAUAUCCGUUAGACCCGAAAGAUGGUGAACUAUGCCUGAGCAGGGUGAAGCCAGGGGAAACUCUGGUGGAGGCUCGUAGCGAUA
rnacentral:rRNA from 1 species